AUUGGACCGGCAGGUGCACAUGCGGGUGCCGCUACAACCCUGCACUCAUCCUGUCCUCCCUUCAACAGCUCUGUCUCACUGGGAGGCAGUCUGGGCACGCCACUGUGUGCUACACACAGCAGGGUGGCUUUACCCUCUCGCCAUCUUCACCCUACCAGCUGUGGCCAUUGCUGUAGAAUGCACGUGUCUGCCCUCGCCCAACAUGUGGUGACAGCUCUGAUCACACCACAUACGCAAUAACACUGUUGAAUGAGGGAAUAUCCCAAAUGAGACAAGUAAUGUUACAAAAUAGGAUAGCUCUGGAUGUGCUCACUGCCGCCCAGGAGGACCUGUGCUCUGAUCAAGGCAGAACGUUGUGUCUCUCUCCCAGACUAUGCUCGUAACAUUUCUUCUGUGAUGGCCUCCUUCCGCACCCAUACACAGGCUACUGACUCCCUGUCCGCUGCCCUGGUCUCGGCUUGGAUUCAGUUCCCCCCUCCACCUGGCAAAAGGUGUCCUUUGGCAUUCUUGCCUUCUUAUUAUUGAUUUUGUUCUCUUGCUGUGAUCUCUAUUGCUGUUGUGGCAUCUGGUUACAAUGCUCCUCUGUGUGUCUGGCUCAGGGACUCAGCAGAAGAAUGACAUGAUAAGUUUGUGAGGGCCAUUCGGACACAUGGCAGGUGGAGUGUAGGUGUCCGGGGCCUUGCUUGCUCAGCAAGAGCCCACAAGCCCACCACAAGCAUGUGUCCCUCAGGCUCCCUUCUGGGCAAGACGCCCGGCUUCUGGGAUGUGUCACAAUCCAGGGCCUGGCCAGCCCAGAUCCCACCUUAUCUCACUUUAAGAAUGUCGCGUCUUGAAGGGACACACAGCCCUCCACGUGAGCUACUGCUCCUGGGAACGCUGGGCGUACCAGGAACAGCCCCUUGGCAGGCAAUGGCCUUUGUGUCCCCUGCCUCUGUAAGAGCCCCCUCCGCGCCUGCGGUAGCGGGUGCACAUUGCUGUCCAGACGGCCGCCCCUGGGUCUCCCUGUAAGCGCCUCCCGAUAAACCCAUGUGUCUCGUUCACCAACUCCGGAUCUUGUCUUUGGUCUCCCAGCUACCUGCCUCCACUGCUCACCCGGCUGGGCGUGUGGCGGAACAGCCCCCCACACCUUCCCCCACUCUAGUAAUAAAGGCUCCCACCGUACUUUCCCCUGGCUCCUCCUGUCUCGGACCAGCCCUGGGCUCCACGGGCGGCUCUGCACAGUGUGGUGUGGUGCGGCGUGCCCCAUCCUCUUGGGAAUUGUGAAUAAUGAACUCUUCUUUCAAGGCACUCAUCUCCAUGUCUGUCGUCUUACCAGUCCUGAUUAAAACAGAACCCCAGGCACGUUCUAAAGCAGCGGAGACGGGAGGGAGGGCGUUCCCAACUGUGGGAAGGGCGUGUGCCAACCUGGAGAGGCGAUGGAGGGAAGAUGUUCUGCUUGUGUGGAGCGGGGGCCGCAAAGCACGUGUGGGAAGCUGAGGUUAGAACAGGAAGGGCCUGGGCCCCAGGGAAAGGAGCCUGGACUGGUCGGGCCCGGUGGGGGCCCCCGGAGGGAGCGGGGCCUGGGCGAGGCGGUCUGAUUUCCAGGCUGCCCUGUCUAAACCGACCCCUCCCGCGUGCUCCCCCUUGCCUUCCUCUCUUUGCUGUCUCCCUGAUCACUUGACGCUGUCUAACAUAGCAUUUCGUCCCGUUUGUUGGUCUUCGUUGCCUCUCUUCUAGAGUGUGAGACCCACCAGGGCAGGGAUGCUCGUCUGCUCUGUCCUCCGCCGAGCCCCCUGUGUCAGAACGGUGCCGCCCACGGACGAGCUCUCAGCUAGGAAAAUCCCAGGCAGGAGUCAGCUGGAUGGUGAAAUUUCAGUCUGAGAGAGAAAGCCCUUGGACUUCUUCCUGGAGUUCCCAGCCCCGGGCCGGAGCCUUCCACAGGGUCCCACGGGGGAGUCUAAGACCCCCACUUCCAGAUGGGGAAGGUGCAGCCCAGAGAGGGGCCACACAGCAAGGAAAGAGGCCUCCUGGAGCCACGGGCGUGGUCCCAAGCCCCCUUCUGCCCCUCUCCCAGACUCAGAUGCCUGGCCUCCAAUCCAUCACUGCUGAUGGGCUGAGUGACCGCAGGCAGGGCACCACCCUCCUUGCUUGUGCAUUGCCAUCCUGGGGACAAUGACAAGGCAGCUCCAGCUCCUUCCCCAGGUUCCUCAAAGCCUCAAGCAAAAGCAAUCAGCACAGGGCAGCCGUCCUAGCAGAGAACAACCAGGCUUGGGGUCAGUCAGAUUUGCCCCGGGCUGCCAGGUAGGGGUUCUGUGACCUCCCUGAGCCUCGGUUUCCUCAUCUGCUAAAGGGGCCAUGAGAUCGAUGUAUGCAAAACAGCUAGCACAGUGCCCGACACAGCAGUGAAUGGUGACC
rnacentral:lncRNA from 1 species